GAUGAACGCUGGCGGCGUGCCUAAUACAUGCAAGUCGAGCGAACGGACGAGAAGCUUGCUUCUCUGAUGUUAGCGGUGGACGGGUGAGUAACACGUGGAUAACCUACCUAUAAGACUGGGAUAACUUCGGGAAACCGGAGCUAAUACUGGAUAAUAUUUUGAACCGCAUGGUUCAAAAGUGAAAGACGGUCUUGCUGUCACUUAUAGAUGGAUCCGCGCUGCAUUAGCUAGUUGGUAAGGUAACGGCUUACCAAGGCAACGAUGCAUAGCCGACCUGAGAGGGUGAUCGGCCACACUGGAACUGAGACACGGUCCAGACUCCUACGGGAGGCAGCAGUAGGGAAUCUUCCGCAAUGGGCGAAAGCCUGACGGAGCAACGCCGCGUGAGUGAUGAAGGUCUUCGGAUCGUAAAACUCUGUUAUUAGGGAAGAACAUAUGUGUAAGUAACUGUGCACAUCUUGACGGUACCUAAUCAGAAAGCCACGGCUAACUACGUG
rnacentral:rRNA from 1 species